GCCCUUCCAAUGAAGGCGCGCAAGGAUUAUAUUUAGACCGUCGGGAAACCGACUAUGGCGAUAAACGUCAUGCGGCAUAAGCGUAGCGGACCCGGGGGCAGUACCCGGCGCCUCCACCAUCAUCCCCGACCCGGCGGCCGGCCGGAUUCGAUCCGGGGUUUCUCAUGGGGGCGAAACAGGAUCGACGCGCGUGGUAAAGGCAUGGUUUUUGCCCGGCAUGAUACCACCGUUAUCGGGUCACCUUAGAAGUGCGAACGACAACAAAGUCGCACUCGCUGCUUAGUCUCUAAGUAAGCGCGGCCCGGGGGGCGCCGGGCAACAGAAGCCCCCCACC
rnacentral:tmRNA from 1 species